UAACGCUCGGUUGGCAAUUAGGGUCUUUGCAGCCAUUGGUGUUUUGUCAACCAAUGCACCUCCCGCUGAAGCAUCUAGCAUUUAUCUCUCAAUUGGAAGAAGUCCUUCAUAAAAGUAUUGAAGUAGAAGUUCUUCUUUCAUUUGGUGCUGAGGACAUGAGGCGACAAGAGCCUUAAAACACUCAUAGUAUGCUAGAAAUGACUCUUCUUGGCUUUGUUGAAUGCCAUUAAUCUUCUUCCUCAAGAGAAUGACUCUCGAAGUGGGGAAGAACUUCUCUAAAAACGCCCUCUUCAUGCUUUCCCAAGAAGUGACCGUUCCGGGUGCUAAUUCAUAAAGCCAAUCUUUAGCCUUUUCCACAAGAGAGAAUGGAAAUGCCUUCAUCAUCAAAAUGUUC
rnacentral:lncRNA from 1 species